UACGAAGGGUGCAAGCGUUAAUCGGAAUUACUGGGCGUAAAGGGUGUGUAGGCGGUUGUUUAAGUCUGUCGUGAAAUCCCCGGGCUCAACCUGGGAAUGGCGAUGGAUACUGGACAGCUAGAGUGUGUCAGAGGAUGGUGGAAUUCCCGGUGUAGCGGUGAAAUGCGUAGAGAUCGGGAUGAACACCCGUGGCGAAGGCGGCUCUCUGGGACGGUACUGACGCUGAGACGCGAAAGCGUGGGGAGCGAACAGG
rnacentral:rRNA from 1 species